rnacentral:rRNA from 1 species
GAUGAACGCUGGCGGCGUGCCUAAUACAUGCAAGUCGAGCGAACAGAUGCGGAGCUUGCUCCUCUGACGUUAGCGGCGGACGGGUGAGUAACACGUGGAUAACCUACCUAUAAGACUGGGAUAACUUCGGGAAACCGGAGCUAAUACCGGAUAAUAUAUUGAACCGCAUGGUUCAAUAGUGAAAGACGGUUUUGCUGUCACUUAUCGAUGGAUCCGCGCCGCAUUAGCUAGUUGGUAAGGUAACGGCUUACCAAGGCAACGAUGCGUAGCCGACCUGUGAGGGGGAUCGGCCACACUGGAACUGAGACACGGUCCAGACUACUACGGGAGGCAGCAGUAGGGAAUCUUCCGCAAUGGGCGAAAGCCUGACGGAGCAACGCCGAGUGAGUGAUGAAGGUCCUCGGAUCGUAAAACUCUGUUAUUAGGGAAGAACAAAUGUGUAAGUAACUAUGCACGUCUUGACGGUACCGAAUCAGAAAGCCACGGCUAACUACGUG